AUACGGAGGAUCCGAGCGUUAUCCGGAUUUAUUAGGUUUAAAGGGAGCGUAGGUGGAUUGUUAAGUCAGUUGUGAAAGUUUGCGGCUCAACCGUAAAAUUGCAGUUGAAACUGGCAGUCUUGAGUACAGUAGAGGUGGGCGGAAUUCGUGGUGUAGCGGUGAAAUGCUUAGAUAUCACGAAGAACUCCGAUUGCGAAGGCAGCUCACUAGACUGCAACUGACACUGAUGCUCGAAAGUGUGGGUAUCAAACAGGAUUAGAUACCCUGGUAGUCCACACAGUAAACGAUGAAUACUCGCUGUUUGCGAUAUACAGUAAGCGGCCAAGCGAAAGCAUUAAGUAUUCCACCUGGGGAGUACGCCGGCAACGGUGAAACUUAAAGGAAUUGACGGG
rnacentral:rRNA from 1 species